rnacentral:rRNA from 1 species
GAUUAACGCUGGCGGCGUGCAUAACACAUGCAAGUCGAACGAUGAAACUUAAAUGAUUUCUUCGGAAUGAACUUAAGUGGAUUAGUGGCGGACGGGUGAGUAACGCGUGAGUAACCUGCCUUACACAAGGGGAUAGCCGUUGGAAACGACGAAUAAUACCCUAUGAAACUAUCACUUCGCAUGAAGCGAUAGUCAAAGUGUUAGCGGUGUAAGAUGGACUUGCGUCUGAUUAGCUAGUUGGUGAGAAAAAAGCCCACCAAGGCAACGAUCAGUAGCCGGCUUGAGAGAGUGUACGGCCACAUUGGAACUGAGACACGGCCCAGACUCCUACGGGAGGCAGCAGUGGGGAAUUUUGCACAAUGGGGGAAACCCUGAUGCAGCGACGCCGCGUGAUUUAGAAGGCCUUCGGGUUGUAAAAAUCUUUUGUAUAGGAAGAAAAUGACAGUACUAUACGAAUAAGGUCCGGCUAAUUACGUG